UACGGGGGGGGUAAGCGUUGUUCGGAAUUACUGGGCGUAAAGGGCUCGUAGGCGGCCAACUAAGUCGGACGUGAAAUCCCUCAGCUUAACUGGGGAACUGCGUCCGAUACUGGAUGGCUUGGAUUCGGGAGAGGAAUGCGGAAUUCCAGGUGUAGCGGUGAAAUGCGUAGAUAUCUGGAGGAACACCGGUGGCGAAGGCGGCAUCCUGGACCAAUAUUGACGCUGAGGAGCGAAAGCCAGGGGAGCAAAGCGGG
rnacentral:rRNA from 1 species